GCAAGCUCAAAUUCCUGGGUUCAAGUGAUCCUCCCUCCUCAGCCUCCCCAGUAGCUGGGACUAUAGGGAUGUAACACUACACCCAGCUAAUUUUUUAAAAUUUUGUAGUAGAGAUGAGGGUUCAUUACGUUGCCGAGGCUGGUUUCAAAUGCCUGGGCUCAAGCGAUCCUCUUGCCUUUACCUCCCAGACUGCUUGGAAUUACAGAUGUGAGCCAGCAUGCCUGAUCCCAGGCCUUUUUAAAGUCCUAUUUUCUCUGCUUUUCAGCCUGUGGAGGCUCCAGUCAUGCUGUGGGAUGAGUCCAGCUUCCCUGACAUCCCAGGGGCUGUAAGUGCCAACAUGACUGUGAAGGGCCAGAGUGAAGACCCUGGCUCCCUCCUUUCCUUGUUCCGGCGGCUGAGUGACCAGCGGAGUAAGGAGCGCUCCCUACUGCAUGGGGACUUCCAUGCGUUCUCUGCUGGGCCUGGACUCUUCUCCUAUAUCCGCCACUGGGACCAGAAUGAGCGUUUUCUGGUAGUGCUUAACUUUGGGGAUGUGGGCC
rnacentral:sRNA from 1 species